UCUGACCACAGAGUAACACUAACAAAAGUGACUCUGAUGUUCCCAAGGGUUCAGUCUCUCUGCAUGAAUGCAAAGUUUCUAUUGCCCAGGGCUGGUGCUGACUGUAACAAGAUAUUACUGAAAAGAGCAUUGCAAGGCAGAACUCACAGACUAUAUGGAUACAACAUCUGUAGGGAAGAAUGGACAUACUUGAGAUGGACCCUGUGGCCCUGAGCUGGGAAUGGCUGGUGUGAGAAGUGAAAUAUGGG